rnacentral:rRNA from 1 species
UACGAAGGGGGCUAGCGUUGCUCGGAAUCACUGGGCGUAAAGGGUGCGUAGGCGGGUCUUUAAGUCAGAGGUGAAAUCCUGGAGCUCAACUCCAGAACUGCCUUUGAUACUGAGGAUCUUGAGUUCGGGAGAGGUGAGUGGAACUGCGAGUGUAGAGGUGAAAUUCGUAGAUAUUCGCAAGAACACCAGUGGCGAAGGCGGCUCACUGGCCCGAUACUGACGCUGAGGCCCGAAAGCGUGGGGAGCAAACAGG